UCGCCUGUUUAUCAAAAACAUCUUUUCUUGUUAGUUUUUGAAGUAUGGCCUGCCCGCUGACAUUUGGUGUUGAAGGGCCGCGGUAUUUUGACCGUGCAAAGGUAGCAUAAUCAUUAGUUCUUUAAUUGUGAUCUGGAAUGAAUGGCUUGACGAGGCACGGGCUGUCUUAGUGUUGAAUGUUUUAUUGAAUUUGGUCUUUGAGUUAAAAUUCUUAGAUGUUUUUGUGGGACGAGAAGACCCUAUAGAGUUUGACAUUUGGUUUAUUUACUUGUUUGUUGUUUGUUUAUUUUUGGUGAGUGGGCUUUUUGUUUUGUUGGGGUGAUGGGAGGAAUGUACUUAACUCCUCUUAGUUUUGGUUAUAUUGAUUUAUAAUUAUUUGAUCCAUUUAUUUUGAUUGUAAGACUAAAUUACCUUAGGGAUAACAGCGUAA
rnacentral:rRNA from 1 species